ACUCUGGGAUAAGCGCUGGAAACGGCGUCUAAUACUGGAUAUGUGACGUGACCGCAUGGUCUGCGUCUGGAAAGAAUUUCGGUUGGGGAUGGGCUCGCGGCCUAUCAGCUUGUUGGUGAGGUAAUGGCUCACCAAGGCGUCGACGGGUAGCCGGCCUGAGAGGGUGACCGGCCACACUGGGACUGAGACACGGCCCAGACUCCUACGGGAGGCAGCAGUGGGGAAUAUUGCACAAUGGGCGCAAGCCUGAUGCAGCAACGCCGCGUGAGGGAUGACGGCCUUCGGGUUGUAAACCUCUUUUAGCAGGGAAGAAGCGAAAGUGACGGUACCUGCAGAAAAAGCGCCGGCUAACUACGUGCCAGCAGCCGCGGUAAUACGUAGGGCGCAAGCGUUAUCCGGAAUUAUUGGGCGUAAAGAGCUCGUAGGCGGUUUGUCGCGUCUGCUGUGAAAUCCGGAGGCUCAACCUCCGGCCUGCAGUGGGUACGGGCAGACUAGAGUGCGGUAGGGGAGAUUGGAAUUCCUGGUGUAGCGGUGGAAUGCGCAGAUAUCAGGAGGAACACCGAUGGCGAAGGCAGAUCUCUGGGCCGUAACUGACGCUGAGGAGCGAAAGGGUGGGGAGCAAACAGGCUUAGAUACCCUGGUAGUCCACCCCGUAAACGUUGGGAACUAGUUGUGGGGUCCAUUCCACGGAUUCCGUGACGCAGCUAACGCAUUAAGUUCCCCGCCUGGGGAGUACGGCCGCAAGGCUAAAACUCAAAGGAAUUGACGGGGACCCGCACAAGCGGCGGAGCAUGCGGAUUAAUUCGAUGCAACGCGAAGAACCUUACCAAGGCUUGACAUAUACGAGAACGGGCCAGAAAUGGUCAACUCUUUGGACACUCGUAAACAGGUGGUGCAUGGUUGUCGUCAGCUCGUGUCGUGAGAUGUUGGGUUAAGUCCCGCAACGAGCGCAACCCUCGUUCUAUGUUGCCAGCACGUAAUGGUGGGAACUCAUGGGAUACUGCCGGGGUCAACUCGGAGGAAGGUGGGGAUGACGUCAAAUCAUCAUGCCCCUUAUGUCUUGGGCUUCACGCAUGCUACAAUGGCCGGUACAAAGGGCUGCAAUACCGCGAGGUGGAGCGAAUCCCAAAAAGCCGGUCCCAGUUCGGAUUGAGGUCUGCAACUCGACCUCAUGAAGUCGGAGUCGCUAGUAAUCGCAGAUCAGCAACGCUGCGGUGAAUACGUUCCCGGGUCUUGUACACACCGCCCGUCAAGUCAUGAAAGUCGGUAACAC
rnacentral:rRNA from 1 species